AUACGUAGGGUGCAAGCGUUAAUCGGAAUUACUGGGCGUAAAGCGUGCGCAGGCGGUUUUGUAAGACAGUGGUGAAAUCCCCGGGCUCAACCUGGGAACUGCCAUUGUGACUGCAAGGCUGGAGGGCGGCAGAGGGGGAUGGAAUUCCGCGUGUCGCAGUGAAAUGCGUAGAUAUGCGGAGGAACACCGAUGGCGAAGGCAAUCCCCUGGGCCUGCACUGACGCUCAUGCACGAAAGCGUGGGGAGCAAACAGGAUUAGAUACCCUGGUAGUCCACGCCCUAAACGAUGUCAACUGGUUGUUGGGUCUUCAUUGACUCAGUAACGAAGCUAACGCGUGAAGUUGACCGCCUGGGGAGUACGGCCGCAAGGUUGAAACUCAAAUGAAUUGACGGG
rnacentral:rRNA from 1 species